AUCGAACGCUGGCGGCAUGCUUUACACAUGCAAGUCGAACGGCAGCGGGGGCUUCGGCCUGCCGGCGAGUGGCGAACGGGUGAGUAAUGCAUCGGAACGUGCCCAUGUCGUGGGGGAUAACGUAUCGAAAGGUACGCUAAUACCGCAUACGCCCUGAGGGGGAAAGCGGGGGAUUCUUCGGAACCUCGCGCGAUUGGAGCGGCCGAUGUCGGAUUAGCUAGUAGGUGAGGUAAAGGCUCACCUAGGCGACGAUCCGUAGCGGGUCUGAGAGGAUGAUCCGCCACACUGGGACUGAGACACGGCCCAGACUCCUACGGGAGGCAGCAGUGGGGAAUUUUGGACAAUGGGGGAAACCCUGAUCCAGCCAUUCCGCGUGCAGGAUGAAGGCCCUCGGGUUGUAAACUGCUUUGUACGGACGAAAAGGUCUCUCUUAAUACGGGGGGCUCAUGACGGUACCGUAAGAAUAAGCACCGGCUAACUACGUGCCAGCAGCCGCGGUAAAGUGGAAU
rnacentral:rRNA from 1 species